rnacentral:rRNA from 1 species
UACGGAGGGUGCAAACGUUGCUCGGAAUCAUUGGGCGUAAAGCGCACGUAGGCGGCACGUUAAGUCGGGUGUGAAAGCCCCGGGCUCAACCCGGGAAGUGCAUUCGAAACUGGCGCGCUUGAGUAUGGAAGAGGGUCUCGGAAUUCCCGGUGUAGAGGUGAAAUUCGUAGAUAUCGGGAGGAACACCAGUGGCGAAGGCGGAGACCUGGGCCAAUACUGACGCUGAGGUGCGAAAGCGUGGGGAGCAAACAGG